rnacentral:misc_RNA from 1 species
UGGUUCUGGCAUNGAUGAAGAACGCAGCGAAAUGCGAUAAGUAAUGUGAAUUGCAGAAUUCAGUGAAUCAUCGAAUCUUUGAACGCACAUUGCGCCCCCCGGUAUUCCGGGAGGCAUGCCUGUUCGAGCGUCAUCUCUCCCCUCACGCGCCGCGUGGUCUUGGGUCCGGCCGGCUGCGGGCCGGACCUUAAAGCGAGUGGCAGCGCCCGACGGCCCUGAACGUAGUCCUUUUUCGCGUUACAGGCGCCGGCGGGUCGCUCGCCCCCCCCACCCCUUUGACGGUUGACCUCGGAUCAGGUAGGGAUACCCGCUGA